rnacentral:rRNA from 1 species
GACGAACGCUGGCGGCGUGCUUAACACAUGCCAGUCGAACGGAAAGGCCCCUUCGGGGGUACUCGAGUGGCGAACAGGUGAGUAACACGUGAGUAACCUGCCCUUGACUUCGGGAUAACUUCAGGAAACUGGGGCUAAUACCGGAUAGGAAUCCUUGCUGCGUGGUGGGGGUUGGAAAGCUUCGGCGGUUUUGGAUGGACUCGCGGCUUAUCAGCUUGUUGGUGGGGUAGUGGCUUACCAAGGCUUUGACGGGUAGCCGGCCUGAGAGGGCGACCGGCCACAUUGGGACUGAGAUACGGCCCAGACUCCUACGGGAGGCAGCAGUGGGGAAUAUUGCACAAUGGGCGGAAGCCUGAUGCAGCAACGCCGCGUGCGGGAUGACGGCCUUCGGGUUGUAAACCGCUUUCAGCAGGGGCGAAGCUUGUGGUGACGGUACCUGCAGAAGAAGCACCGGCUAACUACGUG